rnacentral:rRNA from 1 species
UACGGAGGGGGCAAGCGUUAUUCGGAAUUAUUGGGCGUAAAGGGCGCGUAGGCGGCUUGACAAGUCAAAGGUGAAAUCCCUCGGCUCAACUGAGGAACUGCCUUUGAAACUGUCUGGCUUGAGGCCGGGAGGGGGUAGCGGAAUUCCCAGUGUAGCGGUGAAAUGCGUAGAUAUCUGGAGGAACACCGGUGGCGAAGGCGGCAUCCUGGACCGACAUUGACGCUGAGGCGCGAAAGCCAGGGGAGCAAACGGG